AACGAACGCUGGCGGCAGGCCUAACACAUGUAAGUCGAACGUGAAGCCACCUUCGGGUGGUGGAAAGUGGCAGACGGGUGAGUAACGCGUGGGAACGUGCCUUUCGGUUCGGAAUAACCCAGGGAAACUUGGGCUAAUACCGGAUACGCCCUUCGGGGGAAAGAUUUAUCGCCGAAAGAUCGGCCCGCGUCGGAUUAGCUAGUUGGUAGGGUAAUGGCCUACCAAGGCGACGAUCCGUAGCUGGUCUGAGAGGAUGACCAGCCACACUGGGACUGAGACACGGCCCAGACUCCGACGGGAGGCAGCAGUGGGGAAUAUUGGACAAUGGGCGAAAGCCUGAUCCAGCCAUGCCGCGUGGGUGAAGAAGGCCCUAGGGUUGUAAACCCCUUUCAGCGGGGAAGAUAAUGACGGUACCCGCAGAAGAAGCCCCGGCUAACUCCGUGCCAGCAGCCGCUGUAACAC
rnacentral:rRNA from 1 species